AUGAACCCGUUCGCCCCGCUCGUCGAGCUGUGGCGCCGGACGGUGCAGCCGCUAGGGGACUACGGAUUCGGCAAGCGCAGCGUUUGGGAAGGCGGCGUGGGGCUCUUCAUGGUCUCCGGGGCGGCCCUGCUGGCACUCGCGCUCGCGUGGCUCCGGGGGUUCCAGCUGCGCUCGCGCUUCCGCAAGUACAGCGCCGUGUUCGAGUUCAGCCAGGCGUGCGGGAUCUGCGUUGGCACGCCCCUCAGGAUACGCGGUGUCACCGUCGGGAGCGUCGUCCGCGUCGACUCUUCACUCAGGAGUAUUGAUGCCUAUGUUGAGGUUGAAGAUGAUAAAAUUAUUGUGCCCCGUAAUUCAUUUGUUGAGGUGAAUCAAUCUGGCCUCCUAAUGGAGACAAUGGUCGAUAUUACACCAAAAGAUCCACUCCCAACACCUUCAGUUGGUCCACUGGACGCAGACUGUUCCAAAGAAGGCUUAAUCCUCUGUGACAAAGAGAGAAUGAAAGGACAACAAGGAGUAAGCUUAGAUGCAAUGGUGGGUAUAUUUACCCGUCUAGGAAGAGACAUGGAGGAAAUUGGUGUUCAUAAAAGCUUCAAGUUAGCAGAAAAGGUUGCAUCUAUAAUGGAAGAAGCACAACCUCUCCUUUCACGGAUUGAAGCAUUAGCUGAAGAAGUUCAACCUUUGCUCUCGAAGGUGGGUGAUAGUGAUCUGGUGAAGGAUGUGGAGACUAUAGCUAAAGGCCUGGCUGACGCAUCUGGUGAUUUAAGGUAG
rnacentral:rRNA from 1 species